UGGCUCUGAUACCAUUUUAGAUGAAUACGACUCUCCAUAAUAAUAUGAUAUUGUCCACUUUGAGCAUAAACUCUAUGUCUUUACUUUAGGCUUCCCAAAAUAUCUCAU